rnacentral:rRNA from 1 species
UGGUGGAGUGAUUUGUCUGGUUAAUUCCGUUAACGAACGAGACCUCAGCCUGCUAAUUAAUUUCAACAAGGUUGAUUGUUAAAAUAUCUUAGAGGGACUCUCGGUUAUUAAUCAUGGAAGUCUGAGGUAAUAACA